GAGAUUUUACUGUCACGGAGAUCCACCUACCCCUCUGCCUCCCAGGUGCUGAGAUAAGAGUGCACCACCAUGUCCAGUCAGAAACCCCAAGUUUGACAGCAGCUUUUCUGUUUUAAAGAAGGCUCCAUCCACAGCUGGUUGCAGUAUGUUUUGGUUUGCGUCAAAUCGACGUGAUGAAGUUGCCUGCACUAGACACACCAAGAGUCAGGGCUCAGUGGGGUGAGCUGAAGAUUAAACCACCCUUCCCAGCACAGGACUGUGGGAUGGAUUUCCUGGCUGCUAGCUCUCUUCUUGUCUAGGUAAGUGGAGGAAGGGCCAUUGCAAUGGAGACUGGUGGGCCUUACUUAGACAGGUGUCCUGCUUGCUCACUCGGGGCAAGUCUCUUAACCUCUCUGAACUAUGUUCUCUCUUUAUAAAACAUGAAUAACAACAAUCAGUUUGCUUGCCACACCAACUGACUCUGGCCUUGAAGAAGUUAAUGAGCCCUUCUGGACUCUUUUGCCUCCCCCGUGAGGUCAAGCGAGGAAAGGAACAGAGGUCGUGGGGAGAGCACGUGGCCCUCAGCUUGUCUUGACCUACAGCCAAGCUUGGGGGCUUCCCUUGCUACACCCCGCCCCACGUGGUGAGGACUGGGAAUUGGGAGCAGAGGAGAUGGCCCUACCUGAUGUCCCCAGCUAAGGCACUGAUGCCCACAUGGCCUGUGGGUUUUGUGGAAGCAGAAGUUACCCAGAUAGCCCAGGACAGCCCCGUUGCAGGCCAAGCCAAGCCGAGAACCCAGUGAGCCCGACAAUGGAUCCUUGGGCCAUCAGAAGCUCCCCAAGCACCACUUUGUCACUCGGUGAUCUCUUGGGACUGACCCUGGAGGGAGAUGCUGAUGUAUUGGAUUUGGCGGCCCUUGUAAUGACCCUCAGGAAGAAGAGAAUGUGUGAUGCCCACAUGGUAGAAGAAGGAAAUAGCUGGUGCUAGGCCGGCCAGGUCACUGUAUCCCCAUGAGUAUGUCUCAGAAGGGGCAGAACUGACACUGUGGGCUCUGAGCUUGAAGUGGAGGCUCAGGCCCUAGCUGACUUGUAGCUCCAGGGAGCCUGGGGGCCAACCUACUAGGCUUCCAGUGCCUCAGUACCUAUCUAUGCAAGGAAGAGUGUGGAGGAAGUGCUUGAUAAAUGUUUGCGGAUGAAGAGCAGAAGUCUG
rnacentral:lncRNA from 1 species